rnacentral:rRNA from 1 species
CCCUUAGAUGUUCUGGGCUGCACGCGUGCUACACUGAUAUUGCCAAUAUGUCAUUCUUAUCCGCAAUGGAUUGGGUAAUCAAGUAAUGAAAUUUCAUGCUUGGAAUCGGUAAUUGCAAUUUUAUCGUGAACGAGGAAUUCCUAGUAAGCACUAGUCAUCAGCUAAUGUUGAUUAUGUCCCUGCCCUUUGUACACACCGCCCGUCGCUACUACUGAUUGGGUGUUCAAGUGAGAUGCUUAGACCCUUGUUGCAUGGUUCAUUAUUGUGCUCCGAAAGGAAAAAGUUUCAAGCUUGAGUGUCUAGAGGAAGUAAAAGUCGUAACA